AUUGAACGCUGGCGGCAGGCCUAACACAUGCAAGUCGAACGAGUGGCGGACGGGUGAGUAAUGUCUGGGAAACUGCCUGCUGGAGGGGGAUCACUAAUGGAAACGGUAGCUAAUACCGCAUACCAUCAGAUGUGCCCAGUUUGGAUUAGCUAGUUGGUGGGGUGAAGGCUCACCAAGGCGACGAUCCCUACCUGGUCUGAGAGGAUGACCAGCCACACUGGAACUGAGACACGGGCCAGACUCCUACGGGAGGCAGUAGUGGGGAAUAUUGCACAAUGGGCGCAAGCCUGAUGCAGCCAUGCCGCGUGUAUGAAGAAGGCCUUCGGGUUGUAAAGUACUUUCAGCGGGGAGGCGUUACCCGCAGAAGAAGCACCGGCUAACUCCGUGCCAGCAGCCGCGGUAAUUC
rnacentral:rRNA from 1 species